rnacentral:rRNA from 1 species
UACGGGGGGAGCAAGCGUUGCUCGGAUUUACUGGGCGUAAAGGGCGCGUAGGCGGCCACUGCAAGUCAGUUGUGAAAUCUCCGGGCUUAACCCGGAAAGGUCAACUGAUACUGCAGGGCUAGAGUGCAGAAGGGGCAACUGGAAUUCUCGGUGUAGCGGUGAAAUGCGUAGAUAUCGAGAGGAACACCUGCGGCGAAGGCGGGUUGCUGGGCUGACACUGACGCUGAUGUGCGAAAGCUAGGGGAGCGAACGGG